UUCAUUUAGUUUGGGCACUCUAAUGAGACUGCCGGUGACAAACCGGAGGAAGGUGGGGAUGACGUCAAGUCCUCAUGGCCCUUAUGGGUAGGGCUUCACACGUCAUACAAUGGUCGGUACAGAGGGUUGCCAAGCCGCGAGGUGGAGCCAAUCCCUUAAAGCCGAUCGUAGUCCGGAUCGUAGUCUGCAACUCGACUACGUGAAGUCGGAAUCGCUAGUAAUCGCAGAUCAGCAUGCUGCGGUGAAUACGUUCCCGGGUCUU
rnacentral:rRNA from 1 species